UACGGAGGGUGCAAGGCGUUAUCCGGAUUCACUGGGUUUAAAGGGUGCGUAGGCGGACAGGUAAGUCAGUGGUGAAAUCUCCGAGCUUAACUCGGAAACUGCCUUUGAUAACUCUCUGUCUUGAAUAUGGUGGAGGUAAGCGGAAUAUGUCAUGUAGCGGUGAAAUGCUUAGAGAUGACAUAGAACACCUAUUGCGAAGGCAGCUUACUACGCCUAUAUUGACGCUGAGGCACGAAAGCGUGGGGAUCAAACAGG
rnacentral:rRNA from 1 species